rnacentral:rRNA from 1 species
GACGAACGCUGGCGGCGUGCUUAACACAUGCAAGUCGAACGAUGAACCCGGAGCUUGCUCCGGUGGAUUAGUGGCGAACGGGUGAGUAACACGUGAGUAACCUGCCCUUGACUCUGGGAUAACUGCGGGAAACUGUAGCUAAUACCGGAUACGAGACGCGAAGGCAUCUUCAGCGUCUGGAAAGAACUUCGGACCAGGAUGGGCUCGCGGCCUAUCCGGAAGUUGGUGAGGUAACGGCGCACAAAGCCUACGACGGGUAGCCGGCCUGAGAGGGUGACCGGCCACAAUGGGACUGAGACACGGCGCAGACUCCUACGGGAGGCAGCAGUGGGGAAUAUUGCACAAUGGGCGGAAGCCUGAUGCAGCAACGCCGCGUGAGGGACGACGGCCUUCGGGUUGUAAACCUCUUUUGGCAGGGAAGAAGCGAAAGUGACGGUACCUGCAGAAAAAGCACCGGCUAACUACGUGCCAGCCGCCGCGGUAA